CCGGUUUAAGCGUGUAGGCUGACUUUCCAGGCAAAUCCGGAAGGUUAAGGCUGAGGCGUGAUGACGAGGCACCACGGUGCUGAAGUGACAAAUGCCCUGCUUCCAGGAAAAGCCUCUAAGCAUCAGGUAACAUCAAAUCGUACCCCAAACCGACACAGGUGGUCAGGUAGAGAAUACCAAGGCGCUUGAGAGAACUCGGGUGAAGGAACUAGGCAAAAUGGUGCCGUAACUUCGGGAGAAGGCACGCUGACAUGUAGGUGAAGCCCCUGCGGGUGGAGCUGAAGUCAGUCGAAGAUACCAGCUGGCUGCAACUGUUUAUUAAAAACACAGCACUGUGCAAACACGAAAGUGGACGUAUACGGUGUGACGCCUGCCCGGUGCCGGAAGGUUAAUUGAUGGGGUUAUCGCAAGAGAAGCUCCUGAUCGAAGCCCCGGUAAACGGCGGCCGUAACUAUAACGGUCCUAAGGUAGCGAAAUUCCUUGUCGGGUAAGUUCCGACCUGCACGAAUGGCGUAAUGAUGGCCAGGCUGUCUCCACCCGAGACUCAGUGAAAUUGAACUCGCUGUGAAGAUGCAGUGUACCCGCGGCAAGACGGAAAGACCCCGUGAACCUUUACUACAGCUUGACACUGAACAUUGAGCCUUGAUGUGUAGGAUAGGUGGGAGGCUUUGAAGCGUGGACGCCAGUCUGCGUGGAGCCGACCUUGAAAUACCACCCUUUAAUGUUUGAUGUUCUAACCUGGCGCCGUGAUCCGGCGUGGGGACAGUGUCUGGUGGGUAGUUUGACUGGGGCGGUCUCCUCCCAAAGUGUAACGGAGGAGCACGAAGGUCAGCUAAUCCUGGUCGGACAUCAGGAGGUUAGUGCAAUGGCAUAAGCUGGCUUGACUGCGAGAGUGACGGCUCGAGCAGGUGCGAAAGCAGGUCAUAGUGAUCCGGUGGUUCUGUAUGGAAGGGCCAUCGCUCAACGGAUAAAAGGUACUCCGGGGAUAACAGGCUGAUACCGCCCAAGAGUUCAUAUCGACGGCGGUGUUUGGCACCUCGAUGUCGGCUCAUCACAUCCUGGGGCUGAAGUAGGUCCCAAGGGUAUGGCUGUUCGCCAUUUAAAGUGGUACGCGAGCUGGGUUUAGAACGUCGUGAGACAGUUCGGUCCCUAUCUGCCGUGGGCGCUGGAGAAUUGAGGGGGGCUGCUCCCAGUACGAGAGGACCGGAGUGGACGCAUCACUGGUGUUCGGGUUGUCAUGCCAAUGGCACUGCCCGGUAGCUAAAUGCGGAAGAGAUAAGUGCUGAAAGCAUCUAAGCACGAAACUUGCCCCGAGAUGAGUUCUCCCUGAGACUGUAAGUCUCCUGAAGGAACGUUGAAGACGACGACGUUGAUAGGCCGGGUGUGUAAGCGCAGCGAUGCGUUGAGCUAACCGGUACUAAUGAACCGUGAGGCUUAACCUUACAACGCCAAAGAAGU
rnacentral:rRNA from 1 species